GACGAACGCUGGCGGCGUGCUUAACACAUGCAAGUCGAACGAAGAGCGAUGGACGCUUGCUUCUAUCAAUCUUAGUGGCGCACGGGUGAGUAACGCGUAAUCAACCUGCCCUUCAGAGGGGGACAACAGUUGGAAACGACUGCUAAUACCGCAUACGAUCUAAUCUCGGCAUCGAGGAUAGAUGAAAGGUGGCCCCUACAUGUAAGCUAUCACUGAAGGAGGGGAUUGCGUCUGAUUAGCUAGUUGGAGGGGUAACGGCCCACCAAGGCGAUGAUCAGUAGCCGGUCUGAGAGGAUGAACGGCCACAUUGGGACUGAGACACGGCCCAGACGCCUACGGGAGGCAGCAGUGGGGAAUCUUCCGCAAUGGACGAAAGUCUGACGGAGCAACGCCGCGGGAGUGAUGACGGCCGUCGGGUUGUAAAGCUCUGUUAAUCGGGACGAAAGGCCUUCUUGCGAAUAGGGAGAAGGAUUGACGGUACCGGAAUAGAAAGCCACGGCUAACUACGUG
rnacentral:rRNA from 1 species